CGCAACCCUGACGGAGCAAGACCGCGUGCGGGAUGACUCCCUAAUGGUUAUAAACCGCUUUUCUCUGGGAAGAUGAUGACGGUACCAGAGGAAUCAGCCUCGGCCAACUCCGUGCCAGCAGCCGCGGUAAUACGGAGGAGGCAAGCGUUAUUCGGAAUUAUUGGGCGUAAAGCGUCCGUAGGUGGUGAAUCAAGUCUGCUGUCAAAGCGUUGGGCUUAACCCCAUAGAGGCAGUGGAAACUGGUUGACUAGAGUGCGGUAGGGGUCGAGGGAAUUCCCAGUGUAGCGGUGAAAUGCGUAGAUAUUGGGAAGAACACCAGUGGCGAAAGCGCUCGACUGGGCCUGCACUGACACUGAGGGACGAAAGCUAGGGGAGCG
rnacentral:rRNA from 1 species